rnacentral:lncRNA from 1 species
AUGCUUGCCUCUUCCAUUCAUUCAUUCAUUCAUUCAUUCAUUCAUUCAGUGUGAUUAGGGCUUCCCUUAUGUGUUCAUCACUUAGGCCUGGAGAAACAAAUAAUCAAUGUUCGGACUUGCAGGCUGUUAGGGACUUCCAUGCUGAGUGUGUGUCUGUUGAAUACAAUUUUUCAGAAAGGGCUGUUUCCUUUCCUAGCAGGCGGCUAAUAAGGUUUUGCCUUUCCAGAAGCCAAGGUAUACCCAUGCUGGGCCAUCCUCCCUCAAUUAAAUGCAGUUGUGCAAACCAGGAAGGAGAGAGGAGCAUGCGGCUGACUGCACGCGGUUAACACACUGCGGCGCCCCCAGAAACAGUCCUCCUGCAGCAGGUGCCUCAGAAAUGAGCUUCUCUCUCCAGCUAGACUUCAGGGGUUGAUUCCAAAGUGGGAAGGUCCUCGUGUCCCCCGACGACCAGCACUGCUUCACUCCAGGUGACUAAGAAAGAAGGGGGCCGGGCGCGGUGGCUCAUGCCUGUAAUCCCAGCACUUUGGGAGGCCGAGGCAGGGAGAUCACGAGGUCAGGAGUUCAGACCACCCUGACCAACAUGGUGAAACCCCAUCUCUACUAAAAAUACAGUAAUUAGCUAGGCGCGGUGGUGCGUGCCUGUAGUCCCAGCUACUCGGGAGGCUGAGGCAGGAGAAUCACUUGAACCCAGGAGGUGGAGGUUGCGGUGAGCAGAGAUCACACCACUAUACUCCAGCCUGGGUGACAGAGCGAGACUCUGUCUCAAAAAAAAAAAAAAAAAAAAAAGAAAAGAAAAGAAAAAAGGAAAUUAUAGACUCUACUGGGGAUAACAUUAAAGAACAUGCAUUCAAUGGGAGAACUGAUGGCAAUGAAAUGAGCCAAUGCCACCUGCAUGCCGCAGAGUAGGGGAGCCCCCAGAACCCAACCAUGCAUCUGUCUCCGUCCACACACAUGGGACCCUGUGGACCGGGGUGCACAGCACAGGCAACAUACGUGAGGAAGGGUAGAGAGAUGCUUCCCAUUGAGCCAAGGACCAUGCCUUCCUCCUGCGGGACAGUUUGUGAUCACCAUCACCCACAGGACCGUCUAUACACUGACCUGAGCGGUAGUAGUGUGGUUCACCUUGAGAUUGUAUUUUCUACAUUUUUACAAAGCAAGUAAAAAUAAAAGAAUAAACAUAAACAGAACAUCUGGCACCAGAGAAAGAAAUUCAGACAAUUCACAAAGUUGCGAAGGAGGGGAGACAGACACCUACACGAAUUUGUUACAAUUGUUAUAAACUUUCUUAAUAUCUCACUGUCUGGACACUUGAGUCAUUAAUUCACUUUUUAUCACAGAAAAGUUUAAUAUUGGACUUUAAUUUCUUCAAGUCUUUUUGAUCAAGAAACCUCAAUAUUACAUCACAACCUCAGAUUUUUAUCAAUCCAACUUCCUGUAAGCCAACAAAGAAUAUUAGAGAAUUCAAUGGAAUUAAUAGUAAAAAUCGUCCAAAUGAGAUUUUUAACUUUCCCCCAAAUUUUAAGUUAAGCUGUUUCUUUAGUUUCACAUUAUUGGGCUGCCAAAGAGCCAACUCGUGAAGGCAUCAACACAUCUGGAGUAUCCUGCAAGUUAACGGGAAUACCAUGUCCACACUUCACUUCCACCUUCAGGGCUCCCAUGGUGACUCCCAGUCAUUGCUAGCCCAGGAUCAGAAGUUUAUAUUUCCUCAAAAAACCAACACUGAUCAUUCAAAAAAUAAAGAGAAAAGAUGCAAAUUUUGACUGA